GAUGAAGAACGCAGCGAAAUGCGAUAAGUAGUGUGAAUUGCAGAAUUCAGUGAAUCAUCGAAUCUUUGAACGCACAUUGCGCCCCUCGGUAUUCCUUAGGGCAUGCCUGUUCGAGCGUCAUUUAAACCUUCAAGCUAAGCUUGGUGUUGGGUGACUGUCCGCUUCACUGCGGACUCGCCUCAAAAUUAUUGGCGGCCGGUACAUUGGCUUCGAGCGCAGCAGAAACGCGAACUCGGGCCCGUCGUAUUGGCUCCCAGAAGCUAUCUUCACAAUUUUGACCUCGGAUCAGGUAGGGAUACCCGCUGAACUUAAGCAUAUCAAUAAGCGGAGGA
rnacentral:misc_RNA from 1 species